AAAAAAAGUUACAUUUCCUCUACUGGGCAGCUGCACCUCAGGAACAGAUAGAGAGACCUGUUAGCGCGCCUCUGGGCUCAUAUGAUUUUGCAGAAGCGGGUGAGUUCAUAAAAACUCUUUGAAAACCACUUGGGACGAAAGGCUGCGUACCAACGUGCGCCGUUGUAACUAAUGUGGCCGUUGCAGACGCAUAAAGGUAUGAACCUAAGUGCUUAUUUUGAAACCAGGUGGCAGAGUUUCCCUUCAGAUAACGCUCUGUCGCUCUCGGGUCGUGACACAACGUCCGCCCUCUUUUCUCUCCACCGACAGCUGUGCUUCGGGGAAGAUUUGUUGUCCUGCAAGGAGAUGGCGUGACGUUAACCAGCGCUCUCCUCUCCCAGAAAGCCACUGCACGUUAACGAGGAACGGUUUCCUGUUAAAUCCAGCAUAAUAUUCAGAUGCAGAUCUUGUAUCUUCCAGCUGCAAGCACGCUUUUCUUCUGAGGCGAUGGUCCUUGUUCUCAUUUGCUUGGAAGCAAGACAGAACAAGCAAUUACUGUCAGCUGCUUUACGACUGAAACGCGAGGUGACCGGUUUUCUGAACUAUUCCAGGAGAUGGAGCAGAGCUGGUGCACUUACCUUGACAAAGAACCUCACUGAAGUUGCAUUUUUUAUAUGGUCUCACAGCUAUGUGAAAGAUGACGACCUGCAGGAGCGGCAGCUUGAAUUUCAGAAGACGCUGGCUGAGGUGCCCACUUCAGAGAAACAACUGUGAAUGCCCAUGAGCAACAGAGCUGAAUCUCAGUUAGGAGUCGACAAAAAGGACAGCAGGGAAUAUUAAAACUGACAAGUAAGUGAAAGAAUAUUACUUUAUCUACUUAGGCUGGAGGAGCUGAGAACAUUUUUCACAGGGGAAUAUACACAUGUGACUUCCCAAAGGGGACGCGCUUUCUGCUCUUCAGCCCCGGUCUGUGAGCAUGUAGGUAUCAGUCCUGCUGUACUGUUGAAAGUGGGGGUCUGCUCUCAGGGUUACCUCUUGCAUUUUCAAAGAGCUGGUGUUAGCUAACAGCUUUCUUUAUGAAAUGUGUCUUACAGCCUGGGAUCCUUUCAGCUGAUCCCCUUUGGGCACUGGGAAAUUUAGCUUGCUAGGAGAUCUGGAAAUGUGUUCAAGUCUAUGUUCCUUGUGCUUUGUAGCACACUGCUCAGUGCCAGAUGCUUUAUGCUUUACUUGUUGUUCUCCAAGGGUUUGGACUAAUGCUAGUUUUUAUUUCGCUCUCCUAUUUCUCUCUCGCUCUUUCUUUCUUUCUCUCUCUCUCUCUCUCUCUUUUAUUUUUAACCUGGGCACCCAACAAAAUGUUUAUAAGUAUUCCAGCCUUUUUUUUUUAUUUAGUUACCAAUCUCU
rnacentral:lncRNA from 1 species